UACGGAGGAUGCAAGCGUUAUCCGGAAUGAUUGGGCGUAAAGGGUCCGCAGGUGGCAAUGUGUGUCUGCUGUCAAAGAAUGAGGCUUAACCUCAUCAAGGCAGUGGAAACUACAUAGCUAGAGUACGGUCGGGGUAGAAGGAAUUCCUGGCGUAGCGGUGAAAUGCGUAGAGAUCAGGAAGAACACCGGUGGCGAAAGCGUUCUGCUAGACCUGUACUGACACUGAGGGACGAAAGCUAGGGGAGCGAAUGGG
rnacentral:rRNA from 1 species